rnacentral:rRNA from 1 species
UGCAGAAUCUCGUGAACCAUUGAGUCUUUGAACGCAAGUUGUGCCCGAGGCUUUGUGGCCGAGGGCACGCCUGCUUGGGCGUCAUGC